GAUGAACGCUGGCGGCGUGCCUAAUACAUGCAAGUCGAGCGAACGGACGAGAAGCUUGCUUCACUGAGGUUAGCGGCGGACGGGUGAGUAACACGUGGAUAACCGACCUAUAAGACUGGGAUAACUUCGGGAAACCGGAGCUAAUACCGGAUAAUAUUUUGAACCGCAGGGUUCAAGAGUGAAAGACGGUCUUGCCUUUACUUAUAGAUGGAUCCGCGCUGCAUUAGCUAGUUGGUAAGGUAACGGCUUACCAAGGCAACGAUGCAUAGCCGACCUGAGAGGGUGAUCGGCCACACUGGGACUGAGACACGGUCCAGACUCCUACGGGAGGCAGCAGUAGGGAAUCUUCCGCAAUGGGCGAAAGCCUGACGGAGCAACGCCGCGUGAGUGAUGAAGGUCUUCGGAUCGUAAAACUCUGUUAUUAGGGAAGAACAUAUGUGUAAGUAACUGUGCACAUCUUGACGGUACCUAAUCAGAAAGCCACGGCUAACUACGUG
rnacentral:rRNA from 1 species